rnacentral:rRNA from 1 species
AACGAACGCUGGCAGCAUGCCUAACACAUGCAAGUCGAACGAGACCUUCGGGUCUAGUGGCGCACGGGUGCGUAACGCGUGGGAAUCUGCCCUGGGGUGCGGAAUAACUCGGAGAAAUCCGUGCUAAUACCGCAUAAUGUCUUCGGACCAAAGAUUUAUCGCCCUGGGAUGAGCCCGCGUAGGAUUAGCUAGUUGGUGGGGUAAAGGCCUACCAAGGCGACGAUCCUUAGCUGGUCUGAGAGGAUGAUCAGCCACACUGGGACUGAGACACGGCCCAGACUCCUACGGGAGGCAGCAGUGGGGAAUAUUGGACAAUGGGCGAAAGCCUGAUCCAGCAAUGCCGCGUGAGUGAUGAAGGCCCUAGGUUGUAAAGCUCUUUUACCUGGGAUGAUAAUGACAGUACCGGGAGAAUAAGCUCCGGCUAACUCCGUGCCAGCAGCCGCGGUAAU